rnacentral:rRNA from 1 species
CCAUACGACCGUACCGCAAACCGACACUGGUGCGCGAGAUGAGUAUUCUAAGGCGCUUGAGAGAGCUCAGGAGAAGGAACUCGGCAAAUUGACACCGUAACUUCGGAAGAAGGUGUGCCCUAUUAGUGUGUAGUGAACAACGAAGCAUGAAUGGGUUGCAAAAAAUCGGUGGCUGCGACUGUUUAUUAAAAACACAGCACUCUGCAAACACGAAAGUGGACGUAUAGGGUGUGACGCCUGCCCGGUGCUGGAAGAUUAAAUGAUGGGGUGCAAGCUCUUGAUUGAAGUCCCAGUAAACGGCGGCCGUAACAAUAACGGUCCUAAGGUAGCGAAAUUCCUUGUCGGGUAAGUUCCGACCUGCACGAAUGGCGUAACGAUGGCCACACUGUCUCCUCCUGAGACUCAGCGAAGUUGAAAUGUUUGUGAUGAUGCAAUCUCCCCGCGGAAAGACGGAAAGACCCCAUGAACCUUUACUGUAGCUUUGUAUUGGACUUUGAACAGAUCUGUGUAGGAUAGGUGGGAGGCUUUGAAGCAGGGUCGCUAGAUCUUGUGGAGCCAACGUUGAAAUACCACCCUGGUGUGUUUGAGGUUCUAACCUAGGUCCAUUAUCUGGAUCGGGGACAGUGCAUGGUAGGCAGUUUGACUGGGGCGGUCUCCUCCCAAAGCGUAACGGAGGAGUUCGAAGGUACGCUAGUUACGGUCGGACAUCGUGACGAUAGUGCAAUGGCAUAAGCGUGCUUAACUGCGAGACUGACAAGUCGAGCAGAUGCGAAAGCAGGACAUAGUGAUCCGGUGGUUCUGUAUGGAAGGGCCAUCGCUCAACGGAUAAAAGGUACUCUGGGGAUAACAGGCUGAUACCGCCCAAGAGUUCAUAUCGACGGCGGUGUUUGGCACCUCGAUGUCGGCUCAUCUCAUCCUGGGGCUGUAGCCGGUCCCAAGGGUAUGGCUGUUCGCCAUUUAAGGAGGUACGUGAGCUGGGUUUAAAACGUCGUGAGACAGUUUGGUCCCUAUCUUCCGUGGGCGCUGCAGAUUUGAGGAAGCCUGCUCCUAGUACGAGAGGACCGGAGUGGACACACCUCUGGUGUAUCGGUUGUCACGCCAGUGGCAUUGCCGAGUAGCUAAGUGUGGAAGAGAUAACCGCUGAAAGCAUCUAAGCGGGAAACUCGUUUCAAGAUGAGAUCUGCCGGGGCCUUGAGCCCCCUAAAGAGUCGUUCAAGACCAGGACAUUGAUAGGUCAGGUGUGGAAGC